GGAGUUGUGGCUCAGUGGUAGAGCACUUGCCUGGCAUGUAUGAGGCCCUGGGUUCGAACCUCAGCACCA
rnacentral:tRNA from 1 species